GAAUGAGAAGCGAAUUAUUGCAUUCAGUUUCGACCUGAAAAUUGGUUAAUAAACUAUUUACCCUUAUUCU
rnacentral:tRNA from 1 species